ensembl:lncRNA
ACGCUUGCUUAAUUAUCCUUGCUAUCUUUGAGGAAGGAAAAAAUAUACAAGCUCAAGGUCAGGUGGUCAUAAGCAUUCUGAAUAGCUGCCUUCGGGUCACAGUAUAAAGAGGCAGUCACUGAAGGAAAUGCUGUAUUUGUGGUUACCAAAAUCUGUAAUUAGAGGGUAAAUUAGGGCCAUGUGGGGGGGGAAUUAGCUCAAAUGGUAGAGCGCUCGCUUAGCAUGCGAGAGGUAGCGGGAUCAAUGCCCGCAUUCUCCAGUGUUUUGCUAAACAUUAAGAAUUAGAAACUACAAAAAAUAUGACACUAUUUCAGUAAAAUGUUAGUUUUGUUUUAAUCAUUAGAGUCAUAGAAUUGUUCAGGUUGGAAAAGACCUUAAAGAUCAAGUCCAACCGCAACCUAACCAUACUACCCUAACUCUAAAAACCCCCCACCAAAUCAUGUCUCUGAGCACCACAUCCAAACGGUUUUUAAACACAUCCAGGGAUGGUGAGUCAACCACCUCCCUGGGGAGCCUAUUCCAGUGCUUAACAACCCUUUCUGUAAAGUUUUUCCUGAUAUCCAACCUAAACUCACCCUGGUGCAACUUGAGGCCAUUUCCCCUCGUCCUGCCACCAGUGAGAAGAGACCAACGCCGCUCUUGCUGCAAUCACUUUUCAGGUAUUUGAAGAGAGCAAUAAGGUCUCCCCUCAAGCCUCCUCUCCCCC